AAGGCCUGGGCUGCCGCCCCUGGGGCUGGUGGCUGGGGAAGGGGCUGCUCUCCUUCCCAUCGCACCAGGCUGUUAGCGUGCCGGGUCCGAAGACCUGUGCUGGUUAAAAGGCUGGUGCGGCAUGGCCAGCGGCCUGGCGGUGGUACAGUCCAGGAGGGUAAUGGGUAUUGGAUUGCUCCCUUAGGUCUGUUCUUGAACCUAAUCCUCAUUAGACUGAAACCCAUUUCAAUUAAGACAGGCUGGGCUCCUCCUUUGUCUUUCUUUUAAUUGGACCGUUCCCGCUGCUAAAUGGGCAGCUUAAGCAUCCCAAAGACCCUGAGAAAAGCCCGGCAUGUCCCCUAAUGGGGUUUGAAAGUGGAGAAAUAACAGCAUAAUCAGUCUCUUCCUCUUUGUGUCAGCCCUUGAUUCACACCGCUUGCCCCCCUCCCCUUCACACCCUUUCACUGAGUGGCUGCUGACAGAUGGGAACAGGACCGCCAUGUCAAUGGGGUUUGUCGGGGGCUUUCAUGGGCCCUGUUGCCAUUCUCUGUCCUUCUUCUUCGUCUACUCUUGGCCUUUGUGCCAAGACUGGGAACAAGCUGGGAAAGCUGAGCCGGUCCUGUAAAUACCUGCCUCCGCUGGAUCAGCUUAGGGCUUAAAGGACAAGACGGGGAAUACUUGGCACAGCUCUUUAUCCCUUCCUCUGCUUGCCUUACUUUCCCUCCUUCAUCCUCUCUUGUUCCUUUUUUUUUAGUAUUUAUAUACCCUGUUUUUCUCUCCCGUGCUCUUUGUAUCUAUCUAUUUUCCCUGCCCCUUUUUCCUCCAGCGGCCUUCCGUAGUCUCCCUCCGCUCUUAUUCUCCUUCCAGUGACCUCUUUGGUGGCCGUCGCCGGUCGGAUUUUGGCUCACCCAGACCUCUCCUCCCAGGCUGCUGUGCAUCACCGGGAGCUUGCAGAAGAUGCGUGACCUGCUUCCAGGGGACCCGAAAUUGAGUGUUAACAGUCAAGAGUGUGUCCUAACCAGCCUCUGCCGCUGGUGACUGCUGGGGAGGGCCCUGGACAUGACCCAAGACCUUCUGGGACAAAAAGGGCUUUGAUCCCAUAUGUCGAUAAGUAAAAACGGCUGAAGACACUCUUGUCGUGCCCCGGAGGCUCCUCUCGUGGCUGGAGGACCAGCUUGGCGCUCGGUGCCGGGGACAUCCUCGAGCACCUCUGGAGCUCCCUGCACGGGGAGGUUCGCUGGCCGGGGAAGCUCGUCGCAGGUUUCUGGGCUGCACUUGGCGUUUGGCCGACUGACGGCUCCUGCCCUUACUCCUCUCUGCCCACCCCCAGGCCAGACUUCCCCUGGGGUUAUGUGUGCUGAGCUAUAAGACAAAAGCCGGUGGGAGGCACCGGGUGUGUGUCAACCUGCUUAACGGCGGACAGGUCACCUCCAGAUUAACUUGCAUAAAUCCCGACUUCAUUAAAGCUGCAAUCCCCUCUUGAGCAGAGAGCUCUGGCGAGGGGAGGCGGGGUGAACGUGCAGCAGUCAGGCUGUCCGUCUGACCCCGGGGUAACUCUGCCUCAUGUUGGUCCCGAGGCAGCGAGGACAAGAUAAAUCUUUCUCCCUGGAGCGUCCCCAAAGAAAGAAUGAAGUUAACGUCUGCCUGGGAGCUGUGGCGAAGGUGUUUGGAGGGAAAAGGAAGAAAGCAGAGCAAUACAAAAGCUGGACAGAGCUGCUCAGUGGAUGCCUGGGUUGCUAAAUGAAGGAUCCGCUUCGCAAUGUCACAGCUGGAAGCAAAGGGAGCUCUCCGGGUCUGCGUGUGAACUCUGCCUGUCUGGCAGAAUACGUUCCUGCCAUCCCACCCACAAAGGAGGAAGAAAAGUGAAAUGUGCAGAAAUCUGGCGUAGUUUUUAGCUUGUUUUGGGAAGACUUCUACCCUCCUUAAACUUUCCCCAGGAGCUGGUUUUUUGAGUAGGUCUCCUCCGCCAUCUCUCUCUCUGUGCAUCUCCUCCAGCAUCUCCCCGCACCUCCUCGCCUGUCUCCUCAAGAGUUUCCUCCCAUCGCGGCUGACUCCUCAAUCUGGCCGUGCUCUGCGGGGCUGAUGGUCCUGCAAGCGAUGGGGCAUUACAUUUGUUUCAGAGCUGACCGGACGCAACUGCGAUGGCAACGUGCAUUUCGUGCCUUCCUCCCGCGCGUCACCUCCCAGCUGCUGAAACCUGCCCCGUAUGUCCAACGCGACGCUCAUCCGCGAGCUAAUCGCGUGCUCAGGUGUGCGCUAACGGAGCGCUCAUGCGUCAGUAAUUGGUCGGUCAUGCAGGUAGUAAUUAGGCGCUCAUGCAAGAGCUGAUUGGGCACUCAUGCAUGAUGUAAUUGGGUGCCCAGGCAUGAUGCUACUGGGCGCGCACGCAUAAAUUAAUUGGGUGCUCAGGUGUGAUGCAAAUGUGCACUCAUACGUGUUCUAAUUAGGAGCUCAGGCAUGAGCUAACAGCUCAUAUGUGAACUUAUUGGGUGCUCAUGUGUGACGUAAUUGAGCAAUCAAACGUAAAUUAGUUGGGUGUUCUUGCAUGAAACUAAUCAGGUGCUGUGUGUGCACUAAUUGGGCCCUCAUGCAUAAAUUAGCUGGGUGGUCAUGCACGAACGUGUUGGGCUCUCAUGCAGGUACAGGAUAGGUGCUCAUGCGUGAACUGAGUGGGUGCUCAUGUGUAAAGGAAUUGGUCUGGGAGGCCAGCUGGGCCUCCUGUUGGGCAUGCUGGGAGUUGUGGUUUUUUCCCGUGGCAGCUGGAGCAGAGGUGCCCAGGGGUGGCUGGAGCGGGUGGGGGCUGCCUGGGAUCCCCUAUAGAGCCCCCCCCCCCCAAUAGGUUCCCCUCCGUGGGUGCCCACAAGCUCUGCAAGGCAGGGGUGGGUGCGUGGCAUGCAAGAGAUUUCAGCCCCCAGAGCAGCAGCUGGUCAAGCUUCAAGCGACAAUUUCCAAGUGGGGCUUGAGCCGUGCCCCGGACUGCCCUGCUCCGUGGCACGCUCCUGAGCCUGAUGGAGAAGUCAGAUCCCAGCUGUAAGUUUGGGUAUCGCUUCUUCAUUAAUAGAUACAUAAACAAGCUCAUGCGUAUGCAAGAUACAUCGGUAACCACCGAUGACUUUGCUGUAUUCAGGCAUCUGUUAUUAAAAAUGUUCUCUGCAGAAACACACAAGUAUGGAUGAGGGAUAAAUCAGGUAUGUCUCUACUGCUCUGUUCUAAUGUAUAUAAUCUUACCUCUGUGCAUGCACAUACCAAUAAAUUUGAAACCACUGUGGCCACAGCCAUACCAAGUCGUCCUGCUAUUGUUCGACGAACAUGAUCUGCACUAAAGCUAUGCCCAGCUCUCGGUGUGGGCUGCUGUAUGGUGAUACACCGCACAGGCAGCUCAAACCAAGACACUGGCACUUGGGGGGAUGCAGAGAAAAAAACGGUAAAUUACAUUUAAUUAAUGUAUAAUUAAUGCACUUUCUGGCUUUCUGUGUUUCCGUGCAGGGCCCUGGAUUUGCCUGCAUGACCGGCACUUGGUUGCUGCUGCGGUUACUCAAGCUAGUUAAUUCAGAACUCGGCCGGGGGAGUGAAGAGCAGAGCGGCGGGGCAGGGUGUCCGCCUCAGCCCAGGCUAUUGUGAGUUUAUGACACCUAGCCUUAGAAAAGCACAUUUUUAACCCAGCUGCCGCUAUAACUUAUUGCAAUGCCUUGUUAUAGCUUGGGAGCAAAGAGGGAGGGACGAGAAAGGAGGUCACGCAAAGGGUGCUGCGUGUCCCAGAAGGGACCCUCAAAAAAAGCCAGAGGGGGAAAAGGAUGCGGGCUCCCAUCUCUUUCUCGUUUGGCUCUUCCCACAAGCGUGGUAUCUAAACGAUGCAUUCAAGACUGAGGCGUCCGAAGGCACGCCGGGGACAGAGCAACGAGACAGACGUAGUCCUUCUCGCCGCCUAAAAGCGCGUACGUUCUUACGCUCCGAAGGCAGAUUCAAAUGCAGGCGGCUAACGAGGAGGAGGGCUAACAGCCCCACGGAGUCGAGGUCCCCAUGUCAUCAUUUUUUUGUUGUUGUUGCCGGGGCACUAGGUGAGAUCCUGGAGGGUGAGCUGGCUGCCCGGUGCGGUGCUCCAAGGGUGCUAACCCACGCAGCCCGCAGCUGCACCCUGGGGUGCCCACCGCCUCGUGCGCAGAAGCAGGUAGGCACCCUGCCCCGGUGCAAGAACAGCCGAGGAAAGCAAACUCCAUCCCAGGCGGGAGGAGGGUCGCUGGGUGCUUUUUUCCCAGGCUCUCAGUGCUCGUGUCUGGAGCGGAUCCUUAGCGGCUGUGAAAUAAAGCACUGGUGGAGUGUGGGGCAUCCCCCACGGACAUCCUGACCCCAGGGCUGGGCAGCCGAAAUCCCUCCUUGCCCCGACACGCCGUUCUGCACCGCACGUUCUUGCGGCAGGUAGGAUGGAGGAAGCUGCCUAUUAAAUCCUGCUCCAAAGCUCUCAAAAGUUGAAGCAAAGGCUCCUGCUACCUCCUCACGUGCCUCAAAGCUUUAACCUCCUGCUCCUCAGAGGCAGCGUGCCCAGGCAGACAGAUCGGCUGGCUGCACGGACAGGCUGAUGGUGCCCUCGUGUCCCUUCGCUUGGGGGAGAGAUGCCUGUCCUGCCCUUUGGCUGCCGCUUUGGUCGCUCCCAGAUGCUGUACCGUACUGCAAAAAAGGGGAACAGGCAGCAAUACCCCCACGCCUCCUGCAACACGUCUCCCACCCCCCAAAAAUGGAGAGAAAAGACUGAAGGGAAGCAAAACAUUCCUGCCAAAUGAGCGUCCCUCUGCGGUCCUCCAGCCAGGGGCACCCACCUCCACCGGGGACGGGGCACAAAGGGAGAGCAACUGCAUCGCUGGCUCUUCUCCCUUGUGGUCCCGGGCAGAUGAACCUCGGAGGUGCCCGGGCACUCAACCGGGUGGGUGCUGGCCGAAAGCGGCCAGCCCCUCUGAGCGGGGAGAGGGAUCGCUCCCCACGGAAGGGCAUCCGGGGGUGUUCGGCCUGUUUCUCGGCAAUGGAGCCACCCCUGCGGGGCAGUGCUCCCCUGCCCAGCCCCAUCCCUUGCCACCUCCCUUUUUGUCCUUCCUCCCUUUUUGUUAUUUGAGAAAUGAAUUUUAAAAAAUGGAAUCAGUUUUCCCUUUGGGGGGAUUAGAGCCCUCAGCAUUCAAGCUCCCAGCGCAGGAAACAGUGGCUUUUCUUCUGGUGCAACUUGGAAAGACAUGGCUCUCUGUUCUCCCUGAAAGCCCCUCGCACUGAAUGACCCACAGGCCCUGAAUGAAGUGCCUCUCAAUUAAAAGUUUCCCAUUGAUGCUGGUUGAAUGAGACCUUGCUGCGGAAUUCACCCUGGCUGAAUGGCCCGGGCCUUCAUCAAAUAUUAAGGGGCCAAUAGAUUUCCCACAAUAUUUGUACACCUUCCUUUGUGGGGAUUUUUCCCUCCAUUGAACCAGAAACCGUUAACACAUCCGCUCCCGACGUGCCCCCUUCUGCUGCUCAUUAGGGGCCGUGGCAGGGACGCCCGCUGCUGCGUGCCACCCCCAGGACGGGCCGGCCAGCGGGGCACAGGACCGGCCACCUGCUCGUAUUCAUCCUCCGGCGAGGCCAAGCCGAGCUUGAAAUCCCACGGAGAAACGCAGGAUGGAGGGAGACGGGAGCGGGCAGCGCUCCUACCCAGCCCUCACCUGCGCUUGGGGAAAAAUCCGUCCCCUCCCAAAAGCCGGGGGUCACCUGGCCGGAGAGGGGGCUUUGGUGGCAUUGCCCCUCGCUCUCUCCUGGUGGUCCCGGGGAUAACGCAGGGAAAGGAGAGCCUCCCCUCCCGUUCCCCUUUCCCGGCACAAAGGGAAAGUGGUCUUAAGUCCGGGGCUCCCUUCUGCCCGGGGACAAAAGCUCUGGGACACUUUAACAGCACCGAGGGCCUCGC